UCCCUGGUGGCUCAGAGGUUAAAGCGUCUGUCUGCAAUGCAGGAGACCCAAGUUUGAUUCCUGGAUCGGGAA
rnacentral:tRNA from 1 species